rnacentral:misc_RNA from 1 species
GUAGCAGUGACUGUGAUGGUUCCAGGGAGACACCAUUUGGGAUCAUUGUCACAUUUCAUUUCAUAGCAAGCUCCACAGCUCAAGCCAUCGUUGAAUAGGGCAGUACUAAGUGCUGCAGUGUUAGUACCGUACCUUUGGCUGUACAAAUUGCCAUAACCGCAAGCACCUCCCAUUGUCCCAGUAGCAUCACCCCCACCAUAGAAAGUGGCAUGACCACCUUGCCACCC